CGAACGGGUGAGUAACGCGUGAAUAACCUGACUCAAAGAGGGGGAUAACAACGGGAAACUGUUGCUAAUACCGCAUGAGACCACAACACCGCAUGAUGAAGGGGUCAAAGAUUUAUCGCUUUGAGAGGGGUUCGCGUCCCAUUAGGUAGUUGGAAGGGUAACGGCCCACCAAGCCAACGAUGGGUAGCCGAGCUGAGAGGCUGAUCGGCCACACUGGAACUGAGACACGGUCCAG
rnacentral:rRNA from 1 species